UAGCCCACAAAGAAAAUUCUAAGCACUACAGCUAUAAAGCUAAAACUUAAAGAACAUGGCGGCGGGCUCUAACUUCAGGGGAACCUACCAGAUAAAUGAUAACCCGCAAAAUUUCUUACUCUCCCUAAUAACUUAUAUAUCGCCGUCAGUGUGAUCUUUGAAGAAAAUUACAAAAUGUAUUACUACAAGAAGACAGGUCAUGACAUAGUAGAUGGGAGAGACGUAAGGUGGGUUACAAUAAAAAUUUUUUUCAGACGCUGGUUCAUAAAUCAGCUAUAAGAUGGACUUGAAAGUAAAUGUUAAAAGAAAUAUGCAACUGAAUCAAUAAGAGCACGUGU
rnacentral:rRNA from 1 species